rnacentral:rRNA from 1 species
CAGCCGCCGCGGGAAUACGUAGGGUGCGAGCGUUAAUCGGAAUUACUGGGCGUAAAGCGUGCGCAGGCGGUUCGUUAAGACAGAUGUGAAAUCCCCGGGCUUAACCUGGGAACUGCAUUUGUGACUGGCGAGCUAGAGUAUGGCAGAGGGGGGUAGAAUUCCACGUGUAGCAGUGAAAUGCGUAGAGAUGUGGAGGAAUACCGAUGGCGAAGGCAGCCCCCUGGGCCAAUACUGACGCUCAUGCACGAAAGCGUGGGGAGCAAACAGGAUUAGAUACCCGCGUAGUCCCUGUCUCUUAUAC